GUUCAUUUUUUGUCACGUUAUGGUAUUUCUCCCAUUUCCCCUUUUGCACUCGCACUCGCUCUCUCCCCGACCACACGCUCUCUCCCGGCCAACACUCUCUCCCGACGACCACUCGCUCCUCCCCGUCCAGAUCCUUUGUGCCGCCGGCCAGUCACCACCCUCUCCCUCUCGUCGGUGUCUUCCUCACUGCCGCCUUGCUCCUCGCCACCCCUAAAACUAGCAACCCGUCUCCCCCUCGUCGGUCAAAGGUGAAAUUUUUACCAGCCGGGGUGCUCGAUCUGUGGGCGGCGGUGCUCGAUCCGUGUUGGAGCAGCGGGAGGAGGAGGGCAGUUUUGGAUUGGAGCAGUGGUGCUGGACCAGAGCAGUGGGAAUAGGGGGGUGGUGCCGGCCGCUCUUACUUUGUGUAGUCCUCUUCGCUCUCGUCAUGCCGUUGCCACCGCCGAGGAAGACGGAGAGCCUGUCGGAGGGAGGAGCGCCAUGGCCAGUUCUGACCUCCUCUGUCCAGAUCCAGCUCCAGCAAUCAUCCCCUCUUGCUGCUUGCUCUCUCAAUUUCAAGACUGAAGAAGAGAACAUGGGGAGCAGCAGCUGCCCUCUGCUCUGCUCUUAUGCGAAUGCUCUACUGCAGGACCAUGGCAGCGAUGCUCGCCGAAGCGGACGACAACCACUCCCGUGCAAACAAAGGUGAGCAUUCAGGAAAAGAACAGUUGGCUGAACUUCAGGAAAAAGAUACACCGAAUCUUAGUAAGCGGAUACUCAUAGCCGAAUUCUUUUGGAUGCACAUAUAGUUUGUAUCGCAACUUAAAUAAUGACAGUAAAUAAACUCUCAAUUGCACUGUCCAGUAAUUGAAAAUAAAUUACACCUUUUCAGUUAAUUUAAAUUAACUGAAACCUUUUGUACUCCCAUGAUCAGUGUUACUGUACAGUAAUUAACACCGAAUUUGUAAGUGCAAGUAGUGCUUGUUUUCAGGAGUAGGAUGCUGAUCAAUAGUGCUUGUUUGGAGUAAUUGUUUGCUCUGUAGUGCAUUUUUGCUGCAACCUAAUCUGUGGAGUAUCAAGCUAAUUGGAAGAAAGCCAAUUGCUUGCUCUGUAGGAACUUUUAUGUGCUGGAGUAUAGGAUUUGCUGUUUAGCAAGGCUUUGAGUAAUUCUACUCACUUCUCUUCUCUUUAGUAAAUUAAAUUUAGGAGUAGGAGUAGUUCUUAGAACUACUAUGCACCUUAAAACUACUCCUGUUAAAUAACUGAAACUACUCUGCACCUUAGAACUACUCCUGUUAAUUAACUGAAAAAACUUUUUUAAGUUAAUUAACUUAAUUUCUUUCUGUUAGGAGUAGGAGUAGUUCUUGGAGUAGGAAGAGGAGCAGUGCGAAGAAUUCUCUUAUCUUCUCUUACUCUUCUCUUCUCUACUCUCGCUCUCUUCCCUUCGCUUCUCUUCUCUUUCUCUUCUCUUUUCAGUAGUCUGCUCCAAAAUUCUGCAAUGAGGCCCGUGUUUCCACUGCUAUUUAUUUUCUAAAUCACAUUUUCAGUUUUGCAAAUUCUGCAAUUUUGCACAUGAAGCUUCAGAUUUUAGCACAUGAAGCUUCUGCUACUGUUAAUCUUGUCAUGAAUCUUCUGUUGACUUGGUACAUUAGCUUAAAAUGAAUCUUUUCCUUUAAGUAAAACUAAAUGAAACUUUUUUUGUUAAUUUAACAGUUGCUGACUUGCAGUAGUAUAGCACUUGCAGUAGUGUAGGACAUUAGUAGUUUAGUGUAGGACAGCAAUAGUUUGGUGUAAGUUUCAGUUCAUUAACUGAAUUUUUUCAGUUACUUAACUGAAACUUUUUCAGUUACAGCAGGACUUCUCUUCUCUCUUCUUCUCUCUUCUCUUUCUCUUCUUGCAUCUGUAGUUUAGUGUACUUCCCUUGUGCCCUCCAUACUCCUCUCCUCUCCCACUCAUUUCCUCUCCUACUACUUUGCUUGUUCUCUUCUUCUCUAAAUUAUCUUAUCAUCUCUAAAUUCACUCAUCUUGUCUCCUACUACUCUCUUCUCUUCUCUUUCAUUUAAAUGGAGUACUCCACACAAGCAAAUGAAUUACACAUACAAGUCUCACAAAAUGGAAAAAAAAUAUGGAGUAAAAAUGAUCACAAAAUGGAGUUACACAUACAAGCCUCACAAAAUGGAGUAUUACACAUAUGGAGUAAUUUCACAUGGGAUGCACUCCGCACAAGUCUCAUCUCAAGGAACUACACAUACUCCACAUCUGAACAAGCCUCAUGUCAAGCCUCGGAACAAGCCUCAUCUCAAGCAUCUGAACAAGCUCAUCUCAAGCAUCUGAACAAGCCUCAUGUCAAGAAUCGGAACAAGCCUCAUCUCAAGCAUCUGAACAAGCCUCAUGUCAAGCAUCGGAACAAGCCUCAUCUCAAGCAUCUGAACAAGCCUCAUGUCAAGCAUCGGAACAAGCCUCAUCUCAAGCAUCCGAACAAGCCUCAUCUCAAGCAUCCGAACAAGCCUCAUCACUGAACCCUCCCCAUUACCUCUAAGUUGUAUAGGGCAUUCGUGUAAACCUCUUUCAGGCAUGUUAGUCUUGGAGGUAGCUGCCCAAGACCCUCAAGCCUUUCCUUGUUAACAUGUGGUAUUUUAUACGCAUUUCCCACCGCAUGGUUCAUGAUCUCAAUCAUGCACAUUUGUAGAGUUAGGAAAAUUCUGUUGAGCUUGUAAACAUCAUAGCCUUCAAAUUCCUCCAAAACACCUGCAAUAAGGUCUUGUAGUGUUUUAGGACUCAGACAAUCUGUCAGCGAUUGCAGCGAGUUGAAAAACCCAAGGUCAAGCACAUUCAAAUCAGGACUGUUGGCAGGCUGUUGUACUAAUCUAAUGUCAAGUCCAGUUUUUGCGACAGCUGCUAGAAAUUCCUGGUCAUCUGGCAAGAUAUGGGGCUUAGCAUUAUCCUGCUGAAUGUAGAUGGUCUGUCCCAGCAUCACUUUCCAGCCAAACUGCUUGUAUCGCUGGCAAGACUUUCUCUAUCAGGAACUCCCUCAUCACUUUUCUAUCGACCUUUAUUGACUUUGUCUCUAUUGUACCUCUGGGCCUGUUGUCGCUUCUCCUCUGAGCAGGAACUUCUUUCACGAAUGGCCAGAUACCGGUUUUCCUAGAGAAGGUCAUGUUUCCUUCGCUGUCCCACCUUGGCCUAGCAACGGCCGUUAAAAACAUCACCUUGCCAAUACAGUUGCCGUGUAUAGGCCUCGUAGGCUCUUCCUCCCCAUCUAGCAGAUAAUAUGUUCUAUUCUUCUUUGUCAUGUUAAACCACUUCUCGUCAAUAUGGACAACGUUAUGCAUAGUCUUGAACUUAGGCCUCGCAGUUGCUGUUGUUGCCUCAUCAAGCAUCGACAAACAAAAAUUCAUCCUAUCCAUCUUAUUCUUUUCCUUUAAAGCCGGCUUCACACAGUUUGUAUGCCUCCUAAUCAAAUUUAGCAUGAACUUUCUAUGAAGUGUAGUAGGGCUACAUCCCAGUUGCCAGGCUAGUGAUCUAAUAGUAGACCUCCUAUUUAAUGGGAUUGUUAGGGUUUUUUCUAGGUUAAUGUCCUUAGGCUUUCUUCCAGAAUUUCCUUUUCUCUGAUCGGCAACAUCUACCUCUUGACCUUGUUGAAUUUGCAACAUUGCUUUCCUCCAAAUUCUUUGUAUAUUCCAAACACCCACUGCAAAAAAAUUUGCAAUAUCUUGCGUAUCGGUUUUCUUAAAAGUGCCUCCUCUACUCAUACACAGUGUAUGCAAUGCUACAUAAGCAGCAAAUUUUUGCUGGUCAUUGAGGGUUUUAUUUUUUCUACCAACUUGUCCAGCACCUGCACCAAGACAUACAACAAAGAAAUGAUUAAAUGAAAUGAUCAAGUGAUGAAGUGAUGGACUGAUCAAGUGAUGAAAUGAUGGAAUGAUCAAGUGUAACUGUACCUGGAUUUUGAACAAUUUCAUCUCCUUCCAUUCCCUCUCCGGCAUCUCCUUCCAUAUCAUCUCCUACAUGUCCUUCCAUUUCAUUUUCUGCAUUUUCAUCCACAUCUUCUGCAGGUGGAGUGAAGUUGAGGUCUGGGAGAUCCAUUUUCUCCUGAAGAUAUGAAUAUGUAAGAUGAAGUAGAAGUAGAAGUAGAAGUAGAAGUAGAAGUAGAAGUAGAAGUACAAGAAGAAGAAGAAGAAGAAGUACAUAUAAAUUCAGUCUGUGUACUGUCAAUUGUUGUAUGUUUACUAUCAAAGCAAGAAUUAGUCAAUUGCUGUCUGUUUACUGUCAAAGCAAGAAAGACAAUAUUAUUAUGGUCAAUUGUUGUCCGUUUACUGUCAAAGCAAGAAUUAGUUUCCUAGGUUAAUGAAACAUUACCAGCCAUAAUUAGUUUUCUGUAUCUUAAUUAUCUCUGGACAUUUUUGCCUGAAAACUGAAUGUACAAUGUUUCUGUAGAUAAUUUGGUCGAAAAGGGACGACAUGCUGAGGUGUACAACAUUCAGUUUCUCUUUCGACAUGCUGAGCUCUAUAAGUGCUCACAUUCUUUGUAUGGAUCUUAUUGAAUAAGUACUUGUUAACAUUGGUACCAUUUUCUUCAGAUUUUCGUUGGUGGUCUUCUGAUUGAUUUGGAAGGAAGAAUUGUUGGUAUGAAUUUCAUAGACGAGAAUAAAACUCCCUUUUUGCCCGUCCAGAUUGUUGGGAGAUGCCUGAAACACUUCAGAAAUUUGGGACACUUCUUUCCUGUAUAUGGGACGAUUGCUUGAAGGAUUUGGUGUUGGUGUCAUAUCCUACAUGUUUUGACAGGUGAACAGAUGGACAGUGGCUGCUCCUUGCUGAUCAAUUCAAAAUUGCUCUGGCUAUCAAUUCAAGCUUGUUGUGACUGGUGAGAAGACGUCCUGGUCAAUCACCACAUCUGAUCAAUUUCUGUCUGUGGCGAGAAGAAGUGGUACAACUCCGGCGAUCAAUUUCUUUGGCGAUUAACAAUUUGGAUCAAUUCAAACAGCAACACAGGCAGCGCUAGUGCUGCUGUUGGUCAGUGCGGGGAGGAGCACGGGCGGAGGUCAAUUGGCCGGAUCCGGAGGUCCAGUGCCUGAAUCGAGGAGCUGGAAGGCUGAGGCAGGAGGAGGAGCACAGGCUGCACUGCUGCUGCUGUUGGUUAGUGCGGGGAGGAGCACGGACGGAGGUCAAUUGGCCGGAUCCGGAGCUCCAGUGCCUGAAUCGAGGAGCUGGAAGGCUCAGGCAGGAGGAGGAGGAGCACGGGCGGCGCUGCUGCUGGUCGGUGCGGGGAGGAGCAUGGGCGGCGCGAAGGCCAGGAGUCGCGGGCGGCGCGACGGCCAGGAGUCGCGGGCGGCUGGAGGCUGUGGCGGAUGGCGAGGGAGUUGCGUACAAGUUUGGGCUCUUGAUUGGAGCGGAGGAAGGUGGCCGACGAGGAGCUGCGACCGGCGCGGACGGACGCCGGAGGUGCAGCAGUGGGAUGGAGCCUGGCGGAGGGGAGGAGCGAUGGAGUAAGAUGAAGAUCCCCGGCGACAAGAAUUUCAAAUUGAGGGUAGUUUAGUAGUUUAUCAUGUUUUCACCUGGUCGGAAAAGUUCCCCAACGACAACUAUGUCGGAACAGGGGGAGUGCAUGAAUGGAGUUGGUUGUACAGUGCAAUUUUGCGUGACCCAAAACAGACGAAAGGGAAAAGGAGAGGUGUUCGUUUGAUUGGAAACCUUGUGUUCGUACUAGUAAUGCAAUAACAUAUUAUAUUUUAUUCA